GACGAACGCUGGCGGCGGGCCUAACACAUGCCAGUCGAGCGCGGCAUCGGGUUAGCGUUGGAUGGGUGAGUAACACGUGGGAACAGGCCCUUCUCUACGGAAUAGUCCUGGGACUCUGGGGGUAAUACCGUAUGCGCACUUUGGGGGAACGCUUUAUCGGUGAAGGAUUGGCCGGCGUUGGAUUAGGUAGUUGGUGGGGUAAUGGCCUACCAAGCCAAGGAUCCAUGGCUGGUUUGAGAGGAUGAUCGGCCACACUGGGACUGAGACACGGCCCAGACUCCUACGGGAGGCAGCAGUGGGGAAUCUUAGACAAUGGGCGCAAGCCUGAUGCAGCCAUGCCGCGUGAGUGAAGAAGGCCUUAGGGAUGUAAAGCUCUUUCAGCUGGGAAGAUAAUGACGGUACCUGCAUAAGAAGCCCCGGCUAACUACGUG
rnacentral:rRNA from 1 species